rnacentral:rRNA from 1 species
UACGAAGGGGGCUAGCGUUGUUCGGAAUUACUGGGCGUAAAGCGCACGUAGGCGGUCUUUUAAGUCAGGGGUGAAAUCCCGGGGCUCAACCCCGGAACUGCCUUUGAUACUGGAAGUCUUGAGUGUGGUAGAGGUGAGUGGAAUUGCGAGUGUAGAGGUGAAAUUCGUAGAUAUUCGCAGGAACACCAGUGGCGAAGGCGGCUCACUGGACCACAACUGACGCUGAGGCGCGAAAGCUAGGGGAGCAAACGGG